AUUGAACGCUGGCGGCAGGCCUAACACCUGCAAGUCGAGCGGAGCGGCGGACGGGUGAGUAAUGUAUGGGGAUCUGCCCGAUAGAGGGGGAUAACCACUGGAAACGGUGGCUAAUACCGCAUACUGUCGGAUGAACCCAUAUGGGUUUAGCUAGUAGGUAAGGUAAUGGCUUACCUAGGCGACGAUCCCUAGCGGUUCUGAGAGGAUGAUCAGCCACACGAGGACUGUGACACAGCCCAGGCUCCUGCGAGAGGCAGCAGUGGGGGAUAUUGGACAAUGGGCGAGAGCCUGAUCCAGCCAUGCCGCGUGUGUGAAGAAGGUCUUCGGAUUGUAAAGCACUUUAAGUUGGGAGGCGUUACCAGCAGAAUAAGCACCGGCUAACUUCGUGCCAGCAGCCGCGGUAAUUC
rnacentral:rRNA from 1 species